UUCGCAAUGCCCGAAAGGGUGACGAAGCGACGCCGCGUGCGGGAAGAAGGCCUUCGGGUUGUAAACCGCUGUCGGGAGUUAGGAAGUGCAAGGAUGUUAAUAGCGUUCUUGCUUGACUAAGGCUCCGGAGGAAGCCACGGCUAACUCUGUGCCAGCAGCCGCGGUAAUACAGAGGCGGCAAGCGUUGUUCGGAAUUAUUGGGCGUAAAGAGCACGUAGGCGGCUGUGUAAGUCGGUUGUGAAAGCCUUCCGCUUAACGGAAGAACGGCAUCCGAUACUGCAUAGCUUGAGUGCGAGAGGGGAGAGUAGAACUUCUGGUGGAGCGGUGAAAUGCGUAGAUAUCAGAAGGAACACCGGCGGCGAAGGCGACUCUCUGGUCCGUAACUGACGCUGAGUGUGCGAAAGCUAGGGGAGCAAACGGGAUUAGAUACCCCGGUAGUCCUAGCCGUAAACGAUGGGCACUAAGUAGAGGGGUUUU
rnacentral:rRNA from 1 species